AAAAAUCAAAAUACAAUGUGAUUGUGUCGUGCCAUGGUUGUGCCUCAUAUCUCUUCGCUCUUCGAUUUAUUAAAUCCAGACUCCUGAGCUAGCAAUCAGCAUCAACAUCAAGUUUUGCUGAUCAUCAUAACCUGUCUGCAGCAGCUGUGUCAGCUUCAUCGAUGGGGUAAACACCAUCCUGUUUGAUUGGAAGAUCCACAAAUGAUUCAUCUCUUCUUCACCCUUUAAACACCCUCGUGUAGGUACACUCAUGUGAGUGUGAGCAUUCCUCCUUCAUGGUAUAUGGGUGUAUUCACGAUGACUCCUUCCUCCUAUCCCGCCUGGCGUUUUCAACUUUUUCUGCAGAUGGAGCACUCGGAGAUGCCUGGCUGUAUUUCCCAGGCUGAAGAACAUCUCCCCGACUGCUGGCUGUUUUGUAAGUUACUCGACUGCUGCACUUGACAGCAAACUACAGGGAGCAUAAACAUCUCAAUAAGUAUGUAAAUUGAUGAAUCAUCGUUACGCUCAGCAGUGAGUUCAUCACUGCUUUCGUAUCGUAAGGACUCUUCAGCAAUCAAUUAGCGGACUUCCACGAAAAGAGGGCGAACCUCAACAUGGCCUCCUCCGUUCAGGUGGGUCAGCAUAGUUUUACAAAACUGUCUUGCCCUUUCAGGUUCACUAAAAGUGACUGUAGUCACAAUAGGAAUAAUUCCACCAUGAGUGUUAUUAGCCAGUGGAACCAUUUUACUUUGCAGAUUCCGAGUUUUUCGGACACACAUUUCUAAUAUGUGCCUUGCCGACUUUUCCUUUAAAAAUUUUGUCCGAAUCUUUAAGGUUUAACAUUGUAUGUGGUGUUUUUGUUUAUCGUUGCUGAAAGUACUCUCUCCAAACACUUUUUUUUUAAUUAUUUCUAUUUGUGGUCUUACCGAGAAUGGAUUAGAUGAAACCAACAAAAAGCUGUCAAUGCACUUUAAAUUUUUAUUGCGGAAAUUUAUAGUAUUUUCCCAACUCAUGAUCCAAAAUGACGGAGAAUGUGACUUCCUUUAGAGAGCUACAAGCAAAGUCGAACCAAGAAACUGUAAAUUUUCGCGUUCGUGACAAUUUAAAGUUCAUGCAAUAACUGGUAUCCGGAAGUGAUUGGCCAGAAUCUGCCAGAAUUGACCGUGAAAUUUUAAUUUCCGUCAGUCCUGUUCAUAGAGAUUUAUUUUCGAAAAAUUGCGCAAUACUGCUUAACUUACGCUUCAGACUGCCAGCACGCCAUCAAACAUAAUUUAAA